ensembl:lincRNA
AGACAGGGAACCCUGAGCCUGCGCUCUAAAGAGAGAGAUGCACCAUUUCACAACUUCAGCAAAAGCCAAAGCAGCCAACAAAGCCACAGCCACCUCAGCUGUGCUGGGCUCUACUGGAUGUGCUGGGCUCUACUGUUUGAGCAGCUCAUCGGCCACUCCCCAGAAGCAGAUCACUCGGUCUUUCCCUUUUUAAACCCACGUCAUCAUCUGAUCGUAAUAGAAAUCAAUCUCAAAUACCAUGCAAAGGCGUAUCCAUGGCAACCUCCAGAGGAAGGACACAGAGAUGAUGCUCCAGUGGCUGCAGCAGAAAAAGUACCCGCCUGGCUUAGAAGUGGUCGCCAAGCUCGGCGGAGAAAACAUCGAUCAGGCACACAGCUGGACAACUAGGGCAUGAUAAGCGCGUGCGCAGUGAGCCUGGGAAGCUGAUAAGGACCUUCGUUGAGAGGUGCUUCGUGGCCAGCGCCCUCCGUCGGCGAAGGGAAGACUGUGUAGAAGAUUUGGAGAACCUUUUACAAGCUUUUGAGUGCUAAACUGCCAGUUAAAACAGUAGCAAUAAAACAUAUUUUGUUGGCUAGGUUGGAGAAAAACAUAAAUUUUGCUGCUACUCAGUGUCAGCCAUCAUGUGUGGAUGGAAACAUGCCUUUUUGAUGGUAAUAUAAAAUAAUUCAAAUUUUCAUAAUGGCAUUUGGAGCUUUUAUAUUCUAAAAAAUUAAACUUCUUGACUCAAUGUGCCCGCUUCUAAUAAUGUAACCUAAAUAAAUAACCAAAUAAGUUUGCAAAAAUGUUUGUAUAAAGAUGUUGGGAGAGCCAGGAUUUUACAGACAUGGGCUCGAAUUCUAACUGCAAUUUACUAGCUAGGUGAGAUCUUGGGCCAGUUACCUAACUUCUCCAUGCCUCUGUUUCCUCAAUUUGUAAAUGAGGAUGUUAAUGAUCCUCGUUUGAGGAUGUGAUGAUAGUAUCUAUUUCACCUGAUUGUUAGGAGAAUGGAGUGAAUCUGAGUUUGAAAUAUAACUAUUACAAAGAUAUGUUUGUCUCAGUAAUCUCAAGUUCAAAACAACCCAAAUAUACAUAACAUUGAUGGUGGGUGGGAGUGAGAGGUAAUGUUAGAGGGAUGAAUUGUUCACCCCUCUACUACUCAUCCUUCCCCCCCUUUCACUUUCUACAUUUUAAAAAUUAUUCUGAAUGAAUAAUAUUUCCAUAUGGUUCAAAAAUCAAAAUAAAUGGGCUUGGUGGCCUAUGCCUAUAAUCCCAGUGACUUGGGAGGCUGAGGCAGGAGGAUUCCAAAUUCAAAAUGAGCCUCAGCAAUUUAGAGAGGCCUUAAGCAACUCAGAGAGACCUUGACUCAAACAAACAAACAAAAAACAUAAAAAGGGCUGGGAAUGUGGGUCUGGAUUCAGUCUCUGGUACCAAAAAAUCAUCAUCGUCCUAUCAUCAUCAAAAUAAGAUUUAAUACACAAAGGAACAUUUUUCAGCAUUAAAAGAGAAUAAAAUCAUGGCAUUUGCAGGUAAAUGGAUGGAGUUGGAGAAUAUAAUGCUAAACAGAGUUAGCCAAUCCCAAAAAAACAAAUGCUGGAUAUUUUAUCUGAUUUAUAUUGGGGUUGGGAGGGGAAGCAUGUGAAGAUUAGAUGAACCCUAGAUAGGGCAAAGGGAAGGGAGGGGGCAAGGGGUAUAAAAAAGAUGGUGGAAUGAGAUGGACAUCAUUUCCCUAAGUACAUGUAUGAAGACACAAAUGGUGUGAAUAUACUUUGUAUACAACCAGAGAUAUGAAAAAGUGUGCUCUAUAUGUGUAAUAUGAACUGUAAUGCAUUCUGCUGUCAUAUAUAACAAAUUAGAAUAAAAAAUUUUAAAAAAUAUUAAAAAAUAAUAAGAUUCAAAAGUAAGUACUUAGAAAACAACCUUCAACCUUUCUUCAAACCUACUCCAUCAUUCUUGCCUACUGUAGGUAGGUAAGUCUUAUUGGUAGUGUCUUAUUCAUAUCCUCAUAAAGUGGUUUAUUUAAAUAUGAGCACAAAUAUAUUGUCUCCUUCUUUCUUCCUUUUUUUUUUUCUUGGUACUGGGGAUUGAUCCCAGGGGUACUUUACCACAGAGCUAUAGCCUCUAUCCCCAAACCUUGUUGUUUUAAUUUUGAGAAAGGGUUUCACUAAGUUGGUGAGGCUAGCUUCAAAUUUGCAAUCCUCCUGCCUCAGCCUCCCCAGUUGCUAAGAUUACAGACAUGCUCCAACCCCACCAGGCUUCCUUCUUUUUUGUGUGUGCAAAAGGUAAUACACUAUGUUUACUUGUACUUUGUUUUCUUCACUUAACAAUAUAUCCUAAAGCUAAAUCAGUACAUUAGAGGUCUUCCUCAUUCAUUUUUCCAGCUCUAUUGUAUGGACACACUUAAUUUAUUAACCAGCUUCCUCUAGUUGGAUACUUUGUUUCUAGUCUUUUGCUGUUACAAAGAAAGUUGUAAUGAAACUCUGUGUCCAUACACAUUGCAUGUGUAAGCAAACUUACCUGUAAGAUAUAUCUUGGUCAAAUAAUAAAUGCAUUUUUAAUUUUAG